rnacentral:lncRNA from 1 species
CCGUUUUCAGCAAUGUAAACACCUUUUCCUUGAGCCAAGUCAUCCCAUACUGUGCCUUCAUACCUUAAAGCCAAAAUAAUAAAAAGAGAGAUAAGAAAGCCACUUAGAUCAAGAUGCAAGUAUCUUUCCAUCACAAAGCUACCCAAACAGUCCUAUCUAAAACUCAACCUACAUUGCCAUUUCCUCCAGCUCCAGAAUCCAAACUCGACUUAAAUAAGAAGAAUACUAAACAUAAAAUGCAAAGCUUCGAAGCCAAGCCAACAUGGAGCUCAGAUAACAACAAACGAAGAAAGUUACUAGCUUUAUUAGUAUUAUGAUCCAAAUAGGUCUAUGCGGUGCCUAGGCGUCUGCUUAGUAAGUGUUGGCCUAAUCAAUAAUCCCAUAUAAAACGCCUAACUAGCCCUUAGCCAUUUCUUACGAGCUGCCAUCAGGGAAGAUGUAGCUGACCCACUGAAGAAACUCCUCAAUCCUAUCAAGCUCCUCAACAACAGCCUUAGGAGUAUCAAUAUCAUAGUGAUUAUCCGGAAUCGCCGGGUACGGCUUCCUAUAGGGGACAUAGAAAGGCUGAAUCCCAGGAUCCCUCCCUUCCUGAAUCUCCUCGUUCACCACCUCCCAAUCCUCCUCCUCCGCCCACACCGGGUCCCACCCCGGCUUCGUCAUCUCCGGCGGCGCGUCCGCCCACACCUCCCUCAGAUCCUCCUCCUUCCACCGCUCGGGGUCCUUCGGGAAGUCGAAGAGGUCCUCGUAGAACUUGUACUUCCUCUCCUCCUCCUCCUGGAUCCGCUUCACGCGCUUCCCCUCCAGCACGCGGUUGAACCGCCGGAUGUUGGUCUCCGGUGUUGUGUUCGGGUCGGGUGGUAGGUCGCUCCACACAUCAUCUUCUUCAUAAAAGUAAGCAUGUUGAGGAUCACCGUAUGGGCCCCUUUCUUCUCUAACCACUGCAUUUAUAGAAGAAGAAAAACACCUAUUAGCUCCCAACUAAACUAAUACCAGAAGUAAUGGUAAAGAUUACAGAAGAGGGGUAAUACUUCCAUCGGGUUUGUUUACAAACAUUCGAGCCUUAGCUGCAGCAACCUCCGCCAAACCAGAAUGCAGCUGGAAAACGUUUUCACAUCAGUAUAUUUAUCAAUACUUCUCCUAUAUUGCUGGAAGUUACAUGUAUCAUUGAGAGAGAGAAUAAUGGGUAACUACCGCACAAAUAUCUACGGUACAGCCAUGCUCCUCCUCCAAUAGCUCUCCAAAGUAGAAUCUACCCUGCAUCGUCAUUAUGAUGUGUAAACUUGUGUCACAACCACGAAUAUUCACUUCAUGGAGGACAAGAUUAUACUUAACCCAUCAUGGAUUCAUACGAGGGAUACCAAAUACAGAAGCUAUAUCGAACUCUGAUGCCAAAGACCAGCUAUUACUACUACUUACAUAUAGGAUGCGCUCGUUAACUUCGUAGACACCACACCCAUGCAUUCUACCAUGCUUCCAUUGACCAGCAUAGCGAUACCGACCUUUCUCCCUGGUUAUACAAAAUCAUAUAAUAUACGAUGUGUGAAUUAAGUAAUAAAGAAGAAAUCAACUAAAUUACAUGAUUUUGCUUGAUAUUUUAGUCAAAGUCAAGCAAAUAUAAAUCAUCAUAUUAAACCAAACCACUCAAAUCAUUGUUGAGAUGCAAUGCAGGCCAUCUAGUAACAGAAAAUAUCAUUGCAAAACUCACGGUUUUUCGCCAAACUGAGUGAUCCACUCUUCGUUUUCAUAGUAAGGAACUUGGUAAUUCCCAUCAGUUAGCGCAACACUGUCCUCGACAUCCAUUUCCAACCACUUCCUGUCUUCUGGAGACAUAUAAUCUCUCUUGAUAAUCCUUCCUUCAGCACGCAUCUUCUCUUCAAGCCUGCAUGAGACCGAGAGAACAAUAUCAUGCUCAAACGAAUAAGUCCAUAAAUAUCCCACUGGAAGACUGAUUAAUACUAGGAAUGAUGAUAACCAUACUUGGAACCUGGCAUGGGCUCAAUGUCAGGGAUAUCAACUUCAACAACCCCAUGACCUUCCAUAUCAUUCUGAAGCCAUUCACCCUCAUACCUAAAGAUUCAUAUACAGAGCCAAAAACAAAUUAUCUUAAAACACUAACAAUAGAACGAAAAACAAACGGUAAAACUAUGGAAAUAGAGAUAUCAUCACACCUCACAAGCCCGUUUUCAGCAAUGUAAACACCUUUUCCUUGAGCCAAGUCAUCCCAUACUGUGCCUUCAUACCUUAAAGCCAAAAUAAUAAAAAGAGAGAUAAGAAAGCCACUUAGAUCAAGAUGCAAGUAUCUUUCCAUCACAAAGCUACCCAAACAGUCCUAUCUAAAACUCAACCUACAUUGCCAUUUCCUCCAGCUCCAGAAUCCAAACUCGACUUAAAUAAGAAGAAUACUAAACAUAAAAUGCAAAGCUUCGAAGCCAAGCCAACAUGGAGCUCAGAUAACAACAAACGAAGAAAGUUACUAGCUUUAUUAGUAUUAUGAUCCAAAUAGGUCUAUGCGGUGCCUAGGCGUCUGCUUAGUAAGUGUUGGCCUAAUCAAUAAUCCCAUAUAAAACGCCUAACUAGCCCUUAGCCAUUUCUUACGAGCUGCCAUCAGGGAAGAUGUAGCUGACCCACUGAAGAAACUCCUCAAUCCUAUCAAGCUCCUCAACAACAGCCUUAGGAGUAUCAAUAUCAUAGUGAUUAUCCGGAAUCGCCGGGUACGGCUUCCUAUAGGGGACAUAGAAAGGCUGAAUCCCAGGAUCCCUCCCUUCCUGAAUCUCCUCGUUCACCACCUCCCAAUCCUCCUCCUCCGCCCACACCGGGUCCCACCCCGGCUUCGUCAUCUCCGGCGGCGCGUCCGCCCACACCUCCCUCAGAUCCUCCUCCUUCCACCGCUCUGGGUCCUUCGGGAAGUCGAAGAGGUCCUCGUAGAACUUGUACUUCCUCUCCUCCUCCUCCUGGAUCCGCUUCACGCGCUUCCCCUCCAGCACGCGGUUGAACCGCCGGAUGUUGGUCUCCGGUGUUGUGUUCGGGUCGGGUGGUAGGUCGCUUGGCCGGAUGUAGUUGAAGCCGUCGGUUUCGCGUUCCGGUUCGCCUUCGGAGGAUGAGUCCGAGUCCGAGCCCGAGUCCGAGUCCGAGCCGGGUUCUUCGUCCGAGUUAGCAUUGGGGGAUUUUUGGUCUUCUUCUUCUUCAUCGCUCGGGGAGUCAUUUUGCGGCUGUGACUCGGUGAGUUCGGGUGAAUCGUCGUCGUUGUUAGCCAUGGGAAAGAGAUGGAAGGAAGUGAGUGUUGAAGAGUGUGUGUGCGCGGAUAAGCUUUGCCAAGGGUGAGGUUUUUUUUUUUUUUGUAUAGAACGAACACUGAAACAGAU